rnacentral:rRNA from 2 species
GACGAACGCUGGCGGCGCGCCUAACACAUGCAAGUCGAACGGAGUCAAGAGGAGCUUGCUUUUCUUGACUUAGUGGCGAACGGGUGAGUAACGCGUGAGUAACCUGCCCUGGAGUGGGGGACAACAGUUGGAAACGACUGCUAAUACCGCAUAAGCCCACGGAUCCGCAUGGAUCUGCGGGAAAAGGAUUUAUUCGCUUCAGGAUGGACUCGCGUCCAAUUAGCUAGUUGGUGAGGUAACGGCCCACCAAGGCGACGAUUGGUAGCCGGACUGAGAGGUUGAACGGCCACAUUGGGACUGAGACACGGCCCAGACUCCUACGGGAGGCAGCAGUGGGGGAUAUUGCACAAUGGGGGAAACCCUGAUGCAGCGACGCCGCGUGGAGGAAGAAGGUUUUCGGAUUGUAAACUCCUGUCGUUAGGGACGAUAAUGACGGUACCUAACAAGAAAGCACCGGCUAACUACGUG